AACGAACGCUGGCGGCAGGCUUCAUACAUGCAAGUCGAGCGAGCUUUGCAGCAAUGCAAAGUUAGCGGCGAACGGGUGAGUAACAGGUGGAUAAUCUGCCCUCUGGCGGGGGAUACCGGUUGGAAACGACCGUUAAUACCGCAUGUGGUUGCGGGGUCUUAGGGCCCUGUAAAGAAAGGCGCUGCAAGGCGUCACCAGAGGAUGAGUCCGCCCCCCAUUAGCUAGUUGGCGGGAUAACAGCCCACCAAGGCACCGAUGGGUAGCCGAGCUGAGAGGUUGAUCGGCCACACUGGGACUGAGACACGGCCCAGACACCUACGGGUGGCAGCAGUAGGGAAUAUUGGACAAUGGGCGCAAGCCUGAUCCAGCCAUGCCGCGUGAGUGAUGAAGGCCUUCGGGUCGUAAAGCUCUUUUCUAAGGGAAGAACAUCUGAAAGAGGAAAUGCUUUUAAGUUGACGGUACCUUAGGAAUAAGGAACGGCUAACUCCGUGCCAGCAGCCGCGGUAAUACGGAGGUUCCUAGCGUUGUUCGGAAUUACUGGGCGUAAAGGGAGCGCAGGCGGAUUGUUAAGUUUAAAGUGGAAGCCCGGGGCUCAACCUCGGACGUGCUUUGAAUACUGGCAGUCUUGAGUUUGUGAGAGGAAAGCGGAAUUCAGGGUGUAGCGGUGAAAUGCUUAGAUAUCCUGAGGAACACCAGUGGCGAAAGCGGCUUUCUGGCACAUAACUGACGCUGAGGCUCGAAAGCGUGGGGAGCGAACGGGAUUAGAUACCCCGGUAGUCCACGCCGUAAACGUUGUGCACUAGGUGUGGGAGGUAUCGACCCCUUCCGUGCCGCAGCUAACGCAUUAAGUGCACCGCCUGGGGAGUACGGUCGCAAGACUGAAACUCAAAGGAAUUGACGGGGGCCCGCACAAGCGGUGGAGCAUGUGGUUUAAUUCGAGGCAACGCGAAGAACCUUACCCAGGCUUGACAUCCCCUGACCGCCGGUGAAAGCCGGUUUCCCCUUCGGGGGCAGGGAGACAGGUGUUGCAUGGCUGUCGUCAGCUCGUGUCGUGAGAUGUUGGGUUAAGUCCCGCAACGAGCGCAACCCCUAUUCUUAGUUACCAGCGGUUCGGCCGGGCACUCUAAGAAGACCGCCCAUGAUAAGUGGGAGGAAGGUGGGGACGACGUCAAGUCAUCAUGGCCCUUACGCCUGGGGCUACACACGUGCUACAAUGGCCGGUACAGAGGGCUGCAAAACCGCGAGGUUGAGCCAAUCCCUAAAAGCCGGUCUCAGUUCGGAUUGGAGUCUGCAACUCGACUCCAUGAAGUCGGAAUCGCUAGUAAUCGCGGAUCAGCUACGCCGCGGUGAAUACGUUCCCGGGCCUUGUACACACCGCCCGUCACAUGACCCGAGUCGGUUGCACCCGAAGUCACUGGCCCAACUCGCAAGAGAGGGAGGUGCCGAAGGUGUGAUUGGUGAGGGGGAUG
rnacentral:rRNA from 1 species